UGGGGUGUGGCUCAGUCGGUAAAGUGCUUGCCUAGCAUGCAGGAAAUGCUGGAUUCGAUCUUCAGUACCGCUU
rnacentral:tRNA from 1 species